GCUACACAUGCAGUCGAACGGUGAACACGGAGCUUGCUCUGUGGGAUCAGUGGCGAACGGGUGAGUAACACGUGAGCAACCUGCCCCUGACUCUGGGAUAAGCGCUGGAAACGGCGUCUAAUACUGGAUAUGUGACGUGACCGCAUGGUCUGCGUUUGGAAAGAUUUUUCGGUUGGGGAUGGGCUCGCGGCCUAUCAGCUUGUUGGUGAGGUAAUGGCUCACCAAGGCGUCGACGGGUAGCCGGCCUGAGAGGGUGACCGGCCACACUGGGACUGAGACACGGCCCAGACUCCUACGGGAGGCAGCAGUGGGGAAUAUUGCACAAUGGGCGAAAGCCUGAUGCAGCAACGCCGCGUGAGGGAUGACGGCCUUCGGGUUGUAAACCUCUUUUAGCAGGGAAGAAGCGAAAGUGACGGUACCUGCAGAAAAAGCGCCGGCUAACUACGUGCCAGCAGCCGCGGUAAUACGUAGGGCGCAAGCGUUAUCCGGAAUUAUUGGGCGUAAAGAGCUCGUAGGCGGUUUGUCGCGUCUGCUGUGAAAUCCCGAGGCUCAACCUCGGGCCUGCAGUGGGUACGGGCAGACUAGAGUGCGGUAGGGGAGAUUGGAAUUCCUGGUGUAGCGGUGGAAUGCGCAGAUAUCAGGAGGAACACCGAUGGCGAA
rnacentral:rRNA from 1 species